UGUUAAAAAUUCAUCUAUUUUUAUUGUUAAAAACUAGCAUGACUGAUGGUAUAACCAGUAAUUACAUGUGGCAUUCCACGUGUAUCUUAUUUUAACAUACAAAGACUAUUUUUUAACAAUAAAAAUGAAUAAUUUUUAACA
rfam:Gossypium raimondii Chr11_contig_7, whole genome shotgun sequence.